rnacentral:tRNA from 1 species
UCGGCUCUUCGCGGAGUCGGAGGCGCGGCACGAGGCGGGUGCCACAGCGGCCGAAGAUGCGGUCCGCGACCUGUUCCGUGCACGCGGGGCCGAG